rnacentral:lncRNA from 1 species
UAAAACCUAAAUCCACCAAAGCGGCUGGUUGAUAUUAAGGAUGUUCGAACCGGUUCAUGUACCGUUAAUAUCAAUGGAACUUGGGUGUCGAUAAGGUGAAAACCUAAAUCCACCAAAAUGGAUGAUUGAUAUUAAGGAUACAAUGAGCUUUCCCACGACCUUUGUUUGGUGUGCCUUGCUUGAUCCUUGAGUGUGAUUGUUGCAUUC